rnacentral:rRNA from 1 species
GUCUAUGGCCAUACCACCCUGAAUGUGCCCGAUCUUGUCUGAUCUCAGAAGCUAAGAAGGGUCAGGCCUGGUUGUUACUUGGUACUUGCAUGGGAGAAUUUGAUUUCAGAUCCU